UACGGAGGGUGCGAGCGUUGUUCGGAAUCACUGGGCGUAAAGGGCGUGUAGGCGGUCCGCUAAGUCUGAUGUGAAAGCCCGGGGCUCACCCCCCGGAAGGGCAUUGGAAACUGACGGACUCGAGUCCCGAAGAGGAGGGUGGAAUUCCUGGUGUAGCGGUGAAAUGCGUAGAUAUCAGGAGGAACACCGGUGGCGAAGGCGGCCCUCUGGACGGUGACUGACGCUGGAGACGCGAAAGCGUGGGGAGCAAACGGG
rnacentral:rRNA from 1 species